UACGGAGGGUGCAAGCGUUAUCCGGAUUCACUGGGUUUAAAGGGUGCGUAGGUGGGUUGGUAAGUCAGUGGUGAAAUCCCCGAGCUUAACUUGGGAACUGCCAUUGAUACUAUCAAUCUUGGAUACCGUGGAGGUCAGCGGAAUAUGUCAUGUAGCGGUGAAAUGCUUAGAUAUGACAUAGAACACCAAUUGCGAAGGCAGCUGGCUACACGAAUAUUGACACUGAGGCACGAAAGCGUGGGGAUCAAACAGG
rnacentral:rRNA from 1 species